AAUCCGUGAUGUGGGCAUCUCUUAAGAAAUUCCUUGAAUCUUUCACAUGCUUCAUAUAAUGAUUCAUAAUUCAUAUGCAUAAUUCAUAAUUCAUCUGCAUAAAAUU
rfam:Eucalyptus grandis cultivar BRASTZ1 unplaced genomic scaffold scaffold_8, whole genome shotgun sequence.